GCGGUUCAUGCCUAUAAUCCCAGCACUUUGGGAGGCGGAGGCGGGCGGAUCACCUGAGGUCCAGAGUUCGGGAAGAGCCUGGCCAACAUGGUGAAAUCUCAUCUCUACUAAAAAUA